rnacentral:snoRNA from 12 species
AAUUGAUAAAGACACCCAAAAUAGCUGGAAUUACUGGCAGAUUAAGUAGUGGUGAACCUGUGGUUUUCUGAAG